ACGAACGCUGGCGGCGUGCCUAAUACAUGCAAGUUGAGCGCUGAAGGUUGGUACUUGUACCAACUGGAUGAGCAGCGAACGGGUGAGUAACGCGUGGGGAAUCUGCCUUUGAGCGGGGGACAACAUUUGGAAACGAAUGCUAAUACCGCAUAAAAACUUUAAACACAAGUUUUAAGUUUGAAAGAUGCAAUUGCAUCACUCAAAGAUGAUCCCGCGUUGUAUUAGCUAGUUGGUGCGGUAAAGGCUCACCAAGGCGAUGAUACAUAGCCGACCUGAGAGGGUGAUCGGCCACAUUGGGACUGAGACACGGCCCAAACUCCUACGGGAGGCAGCAGUAGGGAAUCUUCGGCAAUGGACGAAAGUCUGACCGAGCAACGCCGCGUGAGUGAAGAAGGUUUUCGGAUCGUAAAACUCUGUUGGUAGAGAAGAACGUUGGUGAGAGUGGAAAGCUCAUCAAGUGACGGUAACUACCCAGAAAGGGACGGCUAACUACGUG
rnacentral:rRNA from 1 species